UACAGAGGGGGCAAGCGUUGUUCGGAAUUACUGGGCGUAAAGGGCGCGUAGGCGGCCUGUUAAGUCGAACGUGAAAUCCCCGGGCUCAACCCGGGAACUGCGUCCGAUACUGGCAGGCUUGAAUUCGGGAGAGGGAUGCGGAAUUCCAGGUGUAGCGGUGAAAUGCGUAGAUAUCUGGAGGAACACCGGUGGCGAAGGCGGAUCUCUGGGCCUUACCUGACGCUGAGGCGCGAAAGCUAGGGGAGCAAACAGG
rnacentral:rRNA from 1 species